GAUGAACGCUGGCGGCGUGCCUAAUACAUGCAAGUCGAGCGAACAGAUAAGGAGCUUGCUCCUUUGACGUUAGCGGCGGACGGGUGAGUAACACGUGGGUAACCUACCUAUAAGACUGGGAUAACUUCGGGAAACCGGAGCUAAUACCGGAUAACAUUUGGAACCGCAUGGUUCUAAAGUGAAAGAUGGUUUUGCUAUCACUUAUAGAUGGACCCGCGCCGUAUUAGCUAGUUGUUAAGGUAACGGCUUACCAAGGCAACGAUACGUAGCCGACCUGAGAGGGUGGUCGGCCACACUGGAACUGAGACACGGUCCAGACUCCUACGGGAGGCAGCAGUAGGGAAUCUUCCGCAAUGGGCGGAAGCCUGACGGAGCAACGCCGCGUGAGUGAUGAAGGGGUUCGGCUCGUAAAACUCUGUUAUUAGGGAAGAACAAAUGUGUAAGUAACUGUGCACGUCUUGACGGUACCUAAUCAGAAAGCCACGGCUAACUACGUG
rnacentral:rRNA from 1 species